ensembl:snoRNA
UAUGCCCCUUGAGGCGUUGCAGCUCAACUGUCUGUGUUGCAGCUGUGUCAUAAGGUGGCAGAGAGAGAGAGAGAGAGACCGGUGGUAGUCUGCACUGAGACUCUACAAU